UCUCCUAAAUACAGCUGUAGUUAACUACCUGUUGCGCGCGCAUUUAGGAAUGUAUCCACGUUGAUAAGUUGGUAACCUACAAUCUCUAUGUUCAAAACUAUUAUUGCACUAUAUCAUGAAAAUGUUCUUUCAAAAAGCGACUACCAUUCAUUUGGAUGCAUUUGGAGUGGCGAGCAUCUAGAACAGUUCAACAACGUGGUCACCAGAAAAACUAAUACAUUGUUUAUCUUUAACAUUAUAUUAACUCCAAAGCAAGGUUUUAAAAAUUCAACAUCUUUAAUAUAUUUAAAAAAAUAAAAAAAUGGAGUCAUGCGAUUGCUCGAGCUCACUCUGCAUAUCAACGGAGAAAAAUCCGGUAAAAAAGUUGCGCUUGUAUAUUUUAAACCUUGUCUUUUAUUACCGUGACAUGGCGAAGAACAAACAGGACCUUGCAGGUCUCUCUUAUCAAGUAAAAAGUGGUAUGACGGACAACCAAAUCGAAUUGUUGAGGAUUAAUGAGCUUGAUGCAAGACUUUCAAUAGGAUGUGCUUUCCUUAUGUUACACUACUACGUCACAUAUAUAGAAGGAUGCAAGGCAGCUCAAUUUGCCUUAGAUGAUAACCCAGAUGUAGGAAUGUUCCAAUAUUACUUAAAACUCAGACGUAAACACACAAAAUCUAUCCGUGAGUUGCUAUCUCUGGAUGACAAAAUUGUCGCAACAAUCAAGGAGCGAACUUAUUAUUUUAUGGAUCAAGUUUAAAAAUGACCUAUCAGUUCCAAAGUGGAGAUAGCUAAAUUUUAUGUAAAAAAAAAAAAAGUUGAAAUUAUAAUAAAUAUUGACAUAAUUGAAGAUAAAUUGAUCUUUUGAUGAUCGACCAGUUCAUCACGCAAUAAUGUAUAAAAGCUAGAAAUGAAUAAUU